AUGCGUCUUCUUUUUCGUUCUUCAUCAUCUGCAACAACGAGUAAACCAAAGAUCACAACAAGAUUCAAGGAUUCUGAGGAUAUCAGUUUUCAUUGUCAAGAAAAUAGGAUUGCAGUUGUAGAGUUAUCUAAGGGAAGCGCAAGAUUCGGUCUUCGUUACGCUUGCUCGACGCAUAUUCCCUACUUCUCCAUUGCUUUCAUCCUCUCUUGA